GUGGGGAAUAUUGCGCUAAUGCGCGAAAGCGUGACGCAGCGACGCCGCGUGGGGGAUGAAGGCCCUCGGGUCGUAAACCCCUUUCGCCAGGGACGAAGGGAAACUGACGGUACCUGGAGAAGAAGUCCCGGCUAACUACGUGCCAGCAGCCGCGGUAACACGUAGGGGACGAGCGUUGUCCGGAAUUAUUGGGCGUAAAGCGCGCGUAGGCGGUCGUGCAAGUCGGAUGUGAAAAUCCCGGGCUCAACCCGGGACCUGCACCCGAUACUGCUCGACUCGAGGUAGGUAGGGGAGAUCGGAAUUCCUGGUGUAGCGGUGAAAUGCGCAGAUAUCAGGAGGAACACCGGUGGCGAAGGCGGAUCUCUGGGCCUUACCUGACGCUGAGGCGCGAAAGCUAGGGGAGCGAACAGGAUUAGAAACCCGGGUAGUCC
rnacentral:rRNA from 1 species